rnacentral:tRNA from 1 species
UCCAGGGUAGCCUAGUGGACAUGGCAUCUGCCCGGUAAGCGGAACAAUGGGUUCGAUUCCCAUCGCUGGAC